AUGUCUCUGCAUUGCGGCACAUGGUGCUGGAAAUAUAAUGGCCAGUUACAGACAAUCAAAAACCUUGCAACCCUAGACCACAGCUGUCUCAGCGAGAUCCCCAGCCAGAUGAGCAGCUACCCAAUGGUUCCCCAUUUGCUCUUUAUUGUUGGUCUGUCCUCCUUGGGAAGGGCCGUCCGUCAGCCCCCAGACAUGGUGGUCAGUCAGGGACAGCCACUGACGCUGAACUGCUCCCAAAAAUCAACCACUUACACCAACAUGUACUGGUACAAACAGGCUGUGGGGAAGGAUGCAAGGCUGCAGCUGGUGUUGUUUUCUGUAGAAGGCUCCGGGAGUGCAAAACCAGAGAACCCAUUUGAAGGUCACUUCCAGAGCAGUGAGACAAAAAACUAUGUCCUGUCUCUGUCUGCAGAGAGUGCCAAGGUGCAAGAUUCAGGCACCUAUUACUGUGCUAAGCAAGAUCACACAGUGCCUCAACUGCCGAAAGAUGGGCCGUCCUUCAGUCCCCAGACAUGGUGGUCAGUCAGGGACAGACACUAG